GGAGGGGUGGCCGAGAGGCUGAAGGCGGCGGUUUGCUAAACCGUUGUACGGUGUCAAGCCGUACCGUGGGUUCGAAUCCCAUCCCCUCCGCCA
rnacentral:tRNA from 5 species